rnacentral:lncRNA from 1 species
GGGAAAAUAAUGCUGAGACAGUCUGAACUUUUUGUUAGAGUUCAUGAAUUUUUAGGAGCUGUCGAGGCUUUAAUGCUGCUUUGAAAUGGAGAACGGAAGGACGCAUGGAGAGUUUCCUGUUUGUUCUGCUCGGUUUCAGUUCCAUGAAGAGGUUUCUGCUUUGGAGACCUUCUCCCACCACAGCUUGCGGUUCUGUUUUAGUCAGCUUCUGAAUGUCGAUAACCAAAGAUGUUUACUGUCCUUCCAUGGAAUGAAAAGAACAGAACAGAACAGAACAGAAGAAGGAACUCUGCUGUUUAUUCCUCAGAUCUGUGUGGCAAAGAUCUUCCUGCUGUGUUCUCUGUGUAUCUGUGUGUACUUGGUGCCCAUGAAGAACAGAAGAAGGUAUCAGAUUCCUCGGAACUGGAGUUACAAGUUGUUGUGAGCUGGCAUAUGUGUGCUCUGAAUCAAAUCUGGAUCAUCGGCUCCACGAGUGAAAAUUUCAAAGAAUCAAUAAACUUUUUAAAGUCAAGUUUAAUUAAAGUUAA